UUGUAGUGGAGUAUCCAUACCAAAUAUGAAGUCUCUAAGUCUCAUGGUUCAAAAGUUAUGGCGAAGGUUAAAGUUGACAACAGACAAACAAACAGACAGACAUACAGCUAAACAGACAGACAGGACAAAAACAAUAUGCGCCCCAAAAAAAUUUGGGUGCAUAAAAACUGUCUUGGAGUUAACAGCAGUUCUCUGUUUCUCCUGAAUGUUAUGUACAAUUUGAUCGGGAUCGGAAGAAUGUUUCAAAAAGUCGGGCUCAGUGAUCAAUUAAUUUAAACAACAGACCGCCAAAAUUUAACCUUGGCCUCCAUGUUGCAACGUCUGCUCUGUCUAAAGGAAGAAGUUUGUUGACCAGACAGCCUGAGAUCGUAUUGCUGUAUCAACCAAAAGAUGCAGAUACACGUAUUUCAUAUGCGCGUCUGUGCAUGAGGAGGAGAUUUCUGAAAAAGAAUAAGUGCUUAUUCAACUUACUGCGAUUUUAACGGGCUUAAAGCUUGGUCCAUGGAUGGUUAUGUCUGAGGAUUUGACAAUUCGACCGCAAGUGCUGCUGCAAGAAAUUAAACAUGCAGAGACCUUACAAAUUACAAAGAAGUCUGAAGAAAAUUUUUAUUGGACAGAUGGGUGUAAAGCACAGACCUGAGAUAUAAAUUGAAUUGUGAGAAAUAUGAAUCAGGGAUGCAGGUAGAAAAUGGCAAAUGUGAUCCAGAUUGAUAAAAAAUGUCUAAAGUUUUUUCUUGUUUUGUAAAUAUUCAAUGCUAUGUCAAUUGUUAUUUUUUCCCCAAUACCUAAUAGUGUUGAACAUUUCACUCCCACUUUUGCUUAAAUAGAAUGAAUAAAUUUCCAUUUAUUUAAUAUGAAUAUUAAAAAAUGCCACAUUUUUUCCAUGAUGAACUUGUGGCUUAAAUAAGAGUUCCAGUUUUUUUUCCAUACAUGCUCCUAUUUGUUUGUCAAAGAUAUAAGAUCCAAUACAUUGCUCAUGAACAUAAUGUGUAAUUUUGUUCAUUCAUUUAUAUGUUUUUUUCUCAUAAUGAUAUAAUAAAUUGUAUAUAAUUUU